GGCGUGGUGGCAGAGCGGUUGAAUGCACCGGUCUUGAAAACCGGCGGGCCCGUGAGGGUCUCGUGAGUUCGAAUCUCACCCACGCCG
rnacentral:tRNA from 1 species